CACACCCCGCUCUUGCCUCCAGCACUGCAGGACUGUCUGAUGCCAAGGCAACUCCAUGUGUGAGGCUUAAAACAAACAACAAGGGAGGGUCUAAGAAUCUGCUGCUGAAACGCACACAGCCUCCAUCACCAGGAAGUCAUCACAUGCUGUAAAUGGAAUGAAGACCUGGUUCCAGGCUGGGGCUGCGUGGCUGGGACUGUUUUUACAUGAUAAUCACACCGUUCCAAUCGUGCCAGUGUAAAUUCAGCUAAGGUUGCAGGCAGAGCUGAUAAACAGGUUUUGGAGACACAAACAACAGUAGCUGGUCCCAUAAGAGCCCACCUUGUCUAAUAUUCUGGGACCAACAUGGCUACUACAACAUUGCAAAAAGACACCAGAAACUAAAGUGAACCACAGAGGAUUAUCCUGACUAUGGGGAGGAAACAAUGGAUUUGGGGGGAAUAUAAGGGGAAGGCAAAAGGCAGUACACUUUGCAUUCAUGAAAGAGAGAUCCCAGCCACGUUGCUUGGAGAUGCUGAGAGAUUGCUUUAGGUGAGAUAAACAACUUUAGACAAGGGUUUAGUGUGUUAAGUUUAGACUCUAAGAAGUGUGUUAUACCUUUUGUUUAAUAUGUAACCAUUUCUGUUUCCAUUAUUACCCUUACUCCGUAUCUUUUAAAUCUUAAUCUUUGAUAAUAAAUU